CUGAGACCCGGGAGCCCCGAGACUGGCUCUCUGCCCUGGCGCCGCCUGCUGCACCUAGCUCUACCAGGUCCUUGAAGUCUGGGUCGAUGAGGUCGGAGGGCAGGUCUCCAUCGUCGUUGGCCGCGUCUCUGUCCGCCCCCAGGGAGAUGAGGAGAAAGCACUUUCCUUUGAUGUGAAGAUUGCCUAUUCUGGUGUUGUGGAAAGUUCUGUCUGCCCUCCCUGCUCAGGGGAUCAAAUGAAAGAACCCUGGAUGAAGAUGCCACCCAGGGCCCUUCCCGAGUGGCCAGGCCUCGGGCUAGACACAGACCAGCGCAAGCCUGUCGGCAAGCCCAUCCUACUGAG